UACGAAGGGGGCUAGCGUUGCUCGGAAUCACUGGGCGUAAAGCGCACGUAGGCGGACUCUCAAGUCGGUGGUGAAAUCCUGGAGCUCAACUCCAGAACUGCCUUCGAUACUGAGAGUCUCGAGUCCGAGAGAGGUGAGUGGAACUGCGAGUGUAGAGGUGAAAUUCGUAGAUAUUCGCAAGAACACCAGUGGCGAAGGCGGCUCACUGGCUCGGUACUGACGCUGAGGUGCGAAAGCGUGGGGAGCAAACAGG
rnacentral:rRNA from 1 species